GGAUAACUACCCUUUAGGACCGGGAUAACUUUGGGAAACUGAGGAUAAUACUGGAUAGGCAAUUUUUCCCGUAAUGGUUUUUUGUUUAAAUGUUUUUUCGCCUAAGGAUGGGUCUGCGGCCGAUUAGGUAGUUGGUUAGGUAAUGGCUUACCAAGCCGUUGAUCGGUACGGGUUGUGAGAGCAAGAGCCCGGAGAUGGAACCUGAGACAAGGUUCCAGGCCCUACGGGGUGCAGCAGGCGCGAAACCUCCGCAAUGUGAGAAAUCGCGACGGGGGGAUCCCAAGUGCCAUCCUUAACGGGAUGGCUUUUCAUUAGUGUAAAAAGCUUUUGGAAUAAGAGCUGGGCAAGACCGGUGCCAGCCGCCGCGGUAACACCGGCAGCUCUAGUGGUAGCAAUUUUUAUUGGGCCUAAAGCGUCCGUAGCCGGUUUAAUAAGUCUCUGGUGAAAUCCUGUAGCUUAACUGUGGGAAUUGCUGGAGAUACUAUUAGACUUGAGACCGGGAGAGGUUAGAGGUACUCCCAGGGUAGAGGUGAAAUUCUGUAAUCCUGGGAGGACCGCCUGUUGCGAAGGCGUCUAACUGGAACGGUUCUGACGGUGAGGGACGAAAGUUAGGGGCGCGAACCGGAUUAGAUACCCGGGUAGUCCUAACUGUAAACGAUGCGGACUUGGUGUUGGGGUGGCUUUGAGCUGCUCCAGUGCCGAAGGGAAGCUGUUAAGUCCGCCGCCUGGGAAGUACGGUCGCAAGACUGAAACUUAA
rnacentral:rRNA from 1 species